rnacentral:rRNA from 1 species
AGAGUUUGAUCAUGGCUCAGGAUGAACGCUAGCUACAGGCUUAACACAUGCAAGUCGAGGGGAAACGACAUCGAAAGCUUGCUUUUGAUGGGCGUCGACCGGCGCACGGGUGAGUAACGCGUAUCCAACCUGCCCACCACUUGGGGAUAACCUUGCGAAAGUAAGACUAAUACCCAAUGAUAUCUCUAGAAGACAUCUGAAAGAGAUUAAAGAUUUAUCGGUGAUGGAUGGGGAUGCGUCUGAUUAGCUUGUUGGCGGGGUAACGGCCACCAAGGCUACGAUCAGUAGGAGUUCUGGAGACGGAAGGUCCCCCACAUUGGAACUGAGACACGGUCCAAACUCAUACGGGAGCA